GAUGAACGCUGGCGGCGUGCCUAAUACAUGCAAGUCGAGCGAACAGACGAGGAGCUUGCUCCUCUGACGUUAGCGGCGGACGGGUGAGUAACACGUGGAUAACCUACCUAUAAGACUGGGAUAACUUCGGGAAACCGGAGCUAAUACCGGAUAAUAUAUUGAACCGCAUGGUUCAAUAGUGAAAGACGGUUUUGCUGUCACUUAUAGAUGGAUCCGCGCCGCAUUAGCUAGUUGGUAAGGUAACGGCUUACCAAGGCAACGAUGCGUAGCCGACCUGAGAGGGUGAUCGGCCACACUGGAAAUGAGACACGGUCCAGACUCCUAAGGGAGGCAGCAGUAGGGAAUCUUCCGAAAUGGGCGAAAGCCUGACGGAGCAAAGACGCGUGAGUGAUGAAGGUCUUCGGAUCGUAAAACUCUGUUAUUAGGGAAGAACAAAUGUGUAAGUAACUAUGCACGGCUUGACGGUACCUAAUCAGAAAGCCACGGCUAACUACGUG
rnacentral:rRNA from 1 species